rnacentral:sRNA from 1 species
GUGAGUCGGCGGCUGAUUUAGAAGGAGGUUCAGGCUACGGUGAGCCGAAGCCACACAGGAGCCAUGGAAGUGGCAGAGCCCAGCAGCCCCACUGAAGAGGAGGAGGAGGAAGAGGAGCACUCGGCAGAGCCUCGGCCCCGCACUCGCUCCAAUCCUGAAGGGGCUGAGGACCGGGCAGUGGGGGCACAGGCCAGCGUGGGCAGCCGCAGCGAGGGUGAGGGUGAGGCCGCCAGUGCUGAUGAUGGGAGCCCCAACACUUCAGGAGCCGGCCCUAAGUCCUGGCAGGUGCCCCCGCCAGCCCCUGAGGUCCAAAUUCGGACACCAAGGGUCAACUGUCCAGAGAAAGUGAUUAUCUGCCUGGACCUGUCAGAGGAAAUGUCACUGCCAAAGCUGGAGUCGUUCAACGGCUCCAAAACCAACGCCCUCAAUGUCUCCCAGAAGAUGAUUGAGAUGUUCGUGCGGACAAAACACAAGAUCGACAAAAGCCACGAGUUUGCACUGGUGGUGGUGAACGAUGACACGGCCUGGCCAGCAGAAAACUGAGCUUCCGGUCACAGAGAAUGUGCAGACGAUUCCCCCGCCAUAUGUG